rnacentral:rRNA from 1 species
UGGGGAAUAUUGCACAAUGGGCGCAAGCCUGAUGCAGCCAUGCCGCGUGUAUGAAGAAGGCCUUCGGGUUGUAAAGUACUUUCAGUCGGGAGGAAGGUGGUAAGGUUAAUAACCUUAUCAAUUGACGUUACCGACAGAAGAAGCACCGGCUAACUCCGUGCCAGCAGCCGCGGUAAUACGGAGGGUGCAAGCGUUAAUCGGAAUUACUGGGCGUAAAGCGCACGCAGGCGGUUUGUUAAGUCAGAUGUGAAAUCCCCGGGCUUAACCCGGGAAUUGCAUCUGAUACUGGUCAGCUAGAGUCUUGUAGAGGGGGGUAGAAUUCCAUGUGUAGCGGUGAAAUGCGUAGAGAUGUGGAGGAAUACCGGUGGCGAAGGCGGCCCCCUGGACGAAGACUGACGCUCAGGUGCGAAAGCGUGGGGAGCAAACAGG